AUGUCUGAAACACUUGGCCAAAAUUUCAGACACCUCCCUUUCUCUUUGUCCUCCUCACUUCCCAGAAAAUGAACUCCUCUAUAUCAACCGCACACUCCCAAAUCCAUCCAUGAACUGAAGUUUGCCAUUGUCAUCAAUUUGGGCAACUUUAUCGAGCUCGCACCACCAACAUCCCUAAUACGGCUAUUACACUGGCUUGGUGGCAAGAAAUCAGAAAUUAGGGCUUGAAAAUUUGAGUGAAAGCUAGAGUUUAGAGCUUGAAUCUAGGUAAAAAAUUUUCUGCAAAAACUACCGUCCAAACAAGGGUACUGAGUACAAAAGUGUAGGUUCCAAAGGGCAUGUAUGGAAUUUCAUGAUCGCUAUUCUAUUUCCUGAAUCAAUUGGGUUUCCUCUGCCUCGCACAAAAGCAGUGUUCCCUCCUGCGUGAAGCUUGUAGCUGUCCACACAGAGCCAAAGUUCCGGACAAGUGGAAUUGGUAGACUUUAGCUUCUGUCCAGCAAGUAUUGUAAAAUUGGCUUGGAUUUUUGCAGAUUAUGUUUCCUUGCUUUUACUUGCCCUCAUUGCUUCUGGAAUCUGGACUAUUUGAUUUUCAGGAUUUUGUUGUCAAUGUUAUAAUCUAUUGUCAAAGCACAAAAUUAGACAUCUUUUUGAAUUUCUGUUUAAAUUCUUGUAAUUUUUAUGAACAUUUACGAUACAAUUGCACACAUUACAAUAUUGUUGGUGUACAGUCAUCGUUGAAAUUUGAUAAAGAAACGAUUUUGAUAGCUCGAAUAUUUUAUUUUGUGGCCUUUCCUAUAUUACGGUUGUCAUUGUGGUAAUUAUUGUUAUAUUUUCGAUGAUGGAAUUUUGCUAAUUUGGCAACUUUUUGACGAUUUUUUUUAAUAAAGGGCCUUUCUUGGAUAGUUAGCUAUAUAGACCAUGUUUACAAGUCGAAAAAGCUUUUUUGAUCAAAUUGUGCUAGAAAAUUAAAAAGAUAUCUAAAAGGUGUGAACUUGCUCAGGUUUAUAUUAUUAUUUGCUGUUAUCAGUCAUCUAUGUAAGAUAUUUGUACGUGGUGAUAUUGUUUAGAAUCUUAAGCUCAUAGUGUUGGGUUAGUUAGUUGCUGAAUUUUAGUUAUCUUGGCUGAUUUUUCCCGUUUGCCAGGAACCCUUUUGAGUGUUCGAAGAUAUUUCAAAGCAUACUCAAGUUGUUUUAGUUCUACUACCUUAUAAAGUCAAUUGAAAAGUUAUAAAGUUCUUCAUGGUUAGGAUGAGCUUAUUAUGUUAUGGAUUGAAGGCAUAAUUUGAGUUAAUUUCAAUAUUUUGUGUCCGAUUUUGCAAUGCAUGGUACAUAUUUUCGUUGCUAUGGCUAGUUGCACCUUCCUGCUUCUUGUCAGAUUUAGUUUUUAGGUUCAAUCUUGUUAGUCUCCGAUUUAAGCUUGAGCAAGUUUUGAAUCCUUUUUGUUCUGUUCUUAUAGAUUUGUUGGAUUUUCAUGAAUUGAUUCUUUAUUAGUGAUUUUUGGCUAGAGUGCUGUGAAUCUUGAUUUGGGUUCUGGCAAAAUUUGGUCAAAUUCAUUAGGUCUCUUUGGAAGUGCUAUUUCUUAUAGCUAAGAAUAAUAAACGAGCUAGUCCAUUUUGGCUUUUUAUGAAAUUUGAAAUCUGAGUUUUUUUUAAGGGGUGAACGCUUCAGUCUUGAUUUGGUUUUUUGGUAAAAGCAACAAAGAUUGUUGCUUUUUCAUCCUUUUGUGGAGUUGGAGGUGAUUUGAGUUUGUGGACUCGAGGAACUUGAGGUUGGUUUAAUGUUCUUUUACUCGUAUUCCACUGUAAGUACCAGGGAUUCUUGCGCUCCCCCCCCCCCCCCCCCAAGUUUGAACUUGCAUUGCUUCAUCCAAAGGCUGGAAUGCCUGAACUUGAUAUUUUUCACAUAACAUUUGCCUCUGCUCAGAUUCAAUAGUAUAUUUCCUCCAAGAAGCGGCCUUUUCCUUUUUGUCUUGGGGAAUUCUUCAUUUUUGACGGGCACUGCACAAUGGAAGGGGGGAAUUGGUUCAAUCGGAAAGAACAUAGUGGAGAGAGGUUAAAUGUGAAUGAAAGUGAACUCGAUACCUUCAUUAGAUUGUUGGAAGAUGCAAAAAAAGAGCUCUAUCCAGGCAACUAGUUUUACUCCAAGCUGAUUAAGAACUUGCAGAGCAGCAACUUCAAACAAGAGGGCUAUAUGAGGAUUUGAUUGCCCAAAUGAAAGAGUUACGCAAAUGAAAAACUCCUAUACAGUCCAGCUUGAUAUUGAUCAUGACGAGGCUGUUGGAUAUGAUGAUAAAGAUGGUUGAAGUCUGACGUUAGUGCUGCAGUCUAUGCUUUAGUUUAGAAAUCUAGUACUCUGUUUUUUGAGAAGGAUAUGUAUUGACUAUUAGUGCUUGAACUGAUUAUGUGGGUUUUGGGAUCCAAUAUUUUUGGUUGACUUCUGUUUUGAUGAAUUUAUAGAAUUUUAUGGCCAUAUAUGUGAAUUUGUGGCUUCAUUUUGGGUUAAUUUUGCCUUUUGUCAAAUUGAAUGUUUUGCUAUAAUUUGUUGGAAAUGC